rnacentral:tRNA from 1 species
GUGUCGGUAUGCAAGUGGCUAAAGCAGGAAGACUGUAAAUCUUUCACCUCUGGUUUCGUAGGUUCGAAUCCUACCCGGCACACUA